CAGCCGCCGCGGUAACACAGAGGGUGCGAGCGUUAAUCGGAUUUACUGGGCGUAAAGCGUGCGUAGGCGGCUUCUUAAGUCGGAUGUGAAAUCCCUGAGCUUAACUUAGGAAUUGCAUUCGAUACUGGGAAGCUAGAGUAUGGGAGAGGAUGGUAGAAUUCCAGGUGUAGCGGUGAAAUGCGUAGAGAUCUGGAGGAAUACCGAUGGCGAAGGCAGCCAUCUGGCCUAAUACUGACGCUGAGGUACGAAAGCAUGGGGAGCAAACAGGAUUAGAUACCCCCGUAGUCCCUGUCUCUUAUAC
rnacentral:rRNA from 1 species